CUGUGAAUUAAAGGGUAUUUCAAACAACUGGGUAGAUAUAGCUUUGUUUAAUGUAACCUUCUUUACGGAGUACUGCAGUUUCUUUUGGAAAUAUUUCACCCUAUAAAAGGUAAAUGUAGGAAUGUUUAGAAGCUUUGUGCUCUUGGCCUGAGGUGACUCCCUGUGGGUUGACUUGCUGGACCCAGCCACUGUGGGAAUACAUUAGGAAGGCAACUGCUCGAUAUGAGAGUAUUUUAUUACAUAGGCCAGCAUUCCCAACUGAUAGUCCGGGUCAUACAUUAAAGCUGCCAAGAGGGGGCAGCGUGGAGUUACUAUAACAGUAUUUCUACUGAAAUGCUAUAUAUUGUUUUCAUGGAGGGUGAAGGAAAUUCGUAUUUACUGUAAUUUUUACUUUGAAAAAUAAGAGUUUUACCAAUUAAGUAUGGGAAAUCACUCUGCCACAUCAGGGAAGUAAAUGAGUAUAUGAU